AACAAGGUCUCCGUUGGUGAACCAGCGGAGGGAUCAUUACCGAGUUUACAACUCCCAAACCCCUGUGAACAUACCACUUGUUGCCUCGGCGGAUCAGCCCGCUCCCGGUAAAACGGGACGGCCCGCCAGAGGACCCCUAAACUCUGUUUCUAUAUGUAACUUCUGAGUAAAACCAUAAAUAAAUCAAAACUUUCAACAACGGAUCUCUUGGUUCUGGCAUCGAUGAAGAACGCAGCAAAAUGCGAUAAGUAAUGUGAAUUGCAGAAUUCAGUGAAUCAUCGAAUCUUUGAACGCACAUUGCGCCCGCCAGUAUUCUGGCGGGCAUGCCUGUUCGAGCGUCAUUUCAACCCUCAAGCACAGCUUGGUGUUGGGACUCGCGUUAAUUCGCGUUCCCCAAAUUGAUUGGCGGUCACGUCGAGCUUCCAUAGCGUAGUAGUAAAACCCUCGUUACUGGUAAUCGUCGCGGCCACGCCGUUAAACCCCAACUUCUGAAUGUUGACCUCGGAUCAGGUAGGAAUACCCGCUGAACUUAAGCAUAUCAAUAAGCG
rnacentral:rRNA from 1 species